rnacentral:rRNA from 1 species
UGGGUUUCACAUCAUUCGGCCUUGGAGGAGUCGCUGGGGUAGCCUUUGGGGACCGUAGAGAC